CUUCCUCCACCCUCAAGCCUCUAGUCUCCCCAAAGUACCACCUGCCUCCUUUCUCCACUGGAGUAUGCUGACACUCAGUAAAGUGAGUAACGUAGGGUGAAAGCAGGGGAGGCAACAGGGGUAAAGAGAAUAAAGAGGAAGUUGAGAAAAAGAGGGAGAGACUGAGUGGAGGAUUGAGUGACUGAAGAAAACUUGGAGAGGAGGAAGGAAAAAAGGAAGAGGGGCAAGGGAAAGGAGAGCUGGCAUAAAAGAAUGAAAGAGAAGGAUUAAUAAACAUUAAAGAGGAAAAUGGCUGUAGGAAAAAACUUCAUCUCAACUCUUUCUUGAUGGAGCAAAUGGUAUGACAGGCUAAGUAAUAGAGGGAAAAUUAAAAAUGAAGGAAGGAAGAAAAGCAAUGGCAGAAAACAAGCAAAUUUAUUAGCAGAAAAUGUAAUAUAAAAUGUUACAAGGAAUAUAAUUUCCUAUACAUUAUGUGAAUUCAUGGUAGUGGAUAAAGUGACAUGAGAAGUAUUUCCAUGAAAGAGGUAUGACCCUACAUACUUUACAAGUGAUAGGCUGAAAAGAAGCCACAAGAGACUUAUGACGGGUCAUGCUAGUGAAUGAAAAUAUCACACAACACUGCCCGAUACCAUGAAUCUAUUUUAUAUUUAUUUGGGUUGUUUUGGUUAUUACAAUAUGUGAUUUAUUUUGAAGAGAAUUAGUAAAUGUUGAAAAUUGUUUUGUUCCUGGAUUGUGCUGACUGGUGAGUAAUAAAAGCAACACAAACUGUCAUAGUCUCAGUUAGUGGAUUGGGUAACUUUUUUUGACUUGGCUCCUGUGGCCAGGAUAGACAGGGAUGGCAGAGACUUGUUCAUGACAUUUGAUGUUGUAGAAGGAUUCAGAUUCUGGGUUGGUUGGUUCUACGGAUUUUUAAAAAAUAAGUGGUUAUGGUUGGAGUUCUGUGAUGGGCUUUGGGCUGGGAUUUCUGUGAUCUGACUUGCUUUCAGGCUCUAUUGCUGUAACGCAUGUUGUUUGCAUGAGAAAUUGUGUGUUAAAUAACUUAUUUUGGUAAUCUCUUGCCUAAAUUGAUAGCUGCUAUUUCUGUGAAUUUCUUGUAGUUUGUUUUCAGUGUUUUUUCUGCUUAUAAUAAAAUAAAAUGGAGAGGAGUGUGAAAAGGAAUGCUGGAUUUUCCUUUUAUUUUUGGUAGCAACUAUCCUUUUUUUGACAACAUCAAGAGCAGUAAUUCCCAAACUGUGGUGCAUGUACCACUGGUGAUAUGUAUGUCACAAACAUGGUAAGUAAAUUGGUUUGAAGUACAUUAUCAGAAUAAGAAUCCACUGUAUCUACACUACUUAAAGUAGUACAGCAAGUAGUUUUGAGAUUUAGAGGUCAUAUGCUAGAUCUUAAAAUCUGAGAUCCACUGAUACAUAAUGUGGCAGGGAAGUGAGAUAUUUCAAAAUAAGGAAAUAGGGCAUAUACCACUCGGUGAUACCUUGAAAGGUAUACUGACAUAUGAAGACCUUGGAUGUAUAAUCCUCCCACAAGAAAUUAUUUUGGAAAUACCUGACACUUGAUGCAAUCUGGUAUACUCCAAAUGUGAGCUCCAGGUAUAAGUCAUAUCUAGUGGUGGUGAUUUAGCAUUCUACUUAAACUCUGUGACUGAAGGCCAAAAAGGAUGAUUAGAUUAUCUAGUUUGGUCUCUUGUACAUCACAGACAACUAACAGCACCCAGCACCAGCACACUAAACCCAACCACCAAAAUGAGACCAAAGUAUUACAAUCCACAGGAGACUAGACUAUUAAGAACCACAAGCAGAGAAUAGGAAGGACGAAGGUGCACCAGUAUUCCAGGCCCCUACAAUGGGAGGGAAUUGAUUAAAUGAGAGAUACCCACAUAAUCCUGGCACAUGAUCCACACUUGCAUGCUGCAGAGGAAGGUGAAAAAAAUCUCAGUUACUGCCAAUCUGACUGAGGGGAAAAUUCCUUCUCAACCUCACAUAUGGCAAUCAGUCAGACUCUGAGCAUGUGAGCAAGAAACAGCCAACCACGCACCUGACAGAGAGAAUGCUCAGUGCCAUCUCAGAACCCUGGUCCUCCCCGCCUAACAUCCCAUCUUCAGCUGUGGCUAUCCCUGAAGCUUCAGAGAAAGGAUAUAAAAGAAACCCUCCCAGAAUACAGUGGGGGUGGUGGGAAAUCCCUUCCUGACCCCUGCUGGUGGCCGGAUGAAAUCUGAAGCAUGAGCUUUAGGAACAUAAGACAUAAACCAGAACCAAGACUGUUGAGCCCUGUCCACUACCACCAUAAGCCACCGCAUCAUACAAUUGCACUCAUAGGUUUGUCCAGCUUUCUCUUAAAACUAAUUAAGUUGUUUGCCCCCACAACUCCUAUUGGGAGCCUGUUCCAGAACAUCACUCCUCCGAUGGUUAGAAACCUCCUUCCAAUUUCCAGCUUAAUUUGUUCAUGGACAGUUUAUAUCCAUUUGUUCUUGUACCAAUACUGUCUUUUAGUUUGAAGAUCUCUUCACCUUUCCUGGCAUUUACCUUUCACCUUUCCUGGCAUAUAUUUAUAAACAGCAAUCAUCUCCCCUCUCAGCUUUUAUUUUGCUAGACUAACCAAGCCAAUCUCUUUUAGUCUCAUAAAAUAGGCCCUCCAUUCCCAUGAUCAUCCUUCUCUGCACCUGUUCCAGUCCGAAUUCAUCUUUUUUAAACAUGGGUGAUCAGAACUGUACACAAUAUUCCAAAUGAGGUCUUACCAAUGCCUUGUACAAUGUCAUUCAUAGUCCUCUCCCUCUACUGGAAAUGCCUUGAUUCAUUCAUCCUAGAAUCACAUUUUCCUUUUUACCAGCCGCAUUGGAUUGGUGUCUCAGUCUUCCUGUAAUCAAGCCACACAGCCAGGUCUCUCCCUUCCUCUGUCACUUCCAACUGAUGAGCUGCCAGCCCUCCCUUCAGUUUUUGUGCAGAAUUUCAACAAGUGCUCCUGAGAGCCCCCUCCCAAACAUACUAAUGAUUGGCAGUUCCAGCUACACAUGGACCCCAAGUUACUUAAUCACACGACACUUGUAAUCACUUCUCAGCAGUGGCUGUGUGUUUAAUUCAAGGUGAAGUUCAAACUGCUGAUAAUAAUUCAACCAAGUACUUAAGCAUGUGUUUAAGUGCAUUCCUAUUCCGCAAAGCAUUUAACCACAUGCCUAAAAUUAACAUAUGUAUGUAUUUGUCGGAAUUGCGACCUAUAGCUCUGAAUGGCAGAAGACCCAAUUAUUCUGCAGAGCUGAUCAUACAACUGAUUUUUCAGUUUAGUCGAUGAACCUAAAAAUCCUUAGAAUUUCAUUUUGGGUCUUUGGUGUUUUUUCCUGCUGAAAUGAAAAAUUGACACUUCUCCCCCAUUCCCCUUUUCAAGGCAAAUGCAGCGUUUUGUUGACCCAAAAUUAAUUUUUUUCAUUUUUUCCUCUGUUUUCAGCUUUUUUUUAAAUCUUUUUACAUUUUUCUUUAAACAAAAUCUAGCUAAAAUUUUGAAACAAAACAUUUUCAAAUUAAAAGGUAAAACAUCUUUUGUUUAAAAAGUAAAAAGAAAGUGUUUUGACUAUUUUAUUAGUCAAGUUUACCUAAACAGAGGGACAGAAGAGAGAAUGAAUAAGCGAGCA